AUCCUCAUCAUCUUCAGCCUAGAGGUACAAGAGCUUCAGGCUGCAGGAGACCGGCUUUUGGAUACUGCUAAUCAGUCCUAGCACUCUUUCUCUUUGAACCUGGACAAGGUGUCUGACCCUUCUCAACACAGCAUCAGACAGCCACCUCUAUUGACUGAAGUUGACAAUGGAGAAUAAAACUCAUUACCCCUGCUGAAUCCAGGGGCCCCUUUUUACAGAUGAGAAAAGUUCCAGAAAGACCCAGAGACAUAAUCAGGUACCUGCGUCGAGCUCUGCACAGGUGACUGGGACUGCAACCCCGGAGACCACUGUGUCAGCAAUGGGUGUGGCCAUGAGUGUGUUGCAGGGUAAGGACAGAUGAAGAGUUAUCUUAAGGAUCAUCUUUCCCUAAGAUCGUCAUCCCUUCCUGGAGUUCCUAUCUUCCAAGAUGUGACUGUCUGGAGUUCCUUGACUAGGAAGAUGGAUGAAAACAGCAAGCCUGUGGAUGGAGACUACAGGGGAUAUGGGAGGCAGGGAAGAGGGGUUGUUUCUUUUAAUAAAUCAUCAUUGUUAAAAGCA
rnacentral:lncRNA from 1 species